CUCAGGAUGAACGCUGGCGGCGUGCUUAACACAUGCAAGUCGAACGAAGCACCUCUAAUCGAAGAUUGAGAAAGCUUGCUUUGAUUGAUUCGACCUUGAGGUGACUGAGUGGCGGACGGGUGAGUAACGCGUGGGUAACCUACCCUAUACAGGGGGAGUAACAGUUGGAAACGACUGCUAAUACCGCAUAAGCGCACAGGACCGCAUGGUCUAGUGUGAAAAACUCCGGUGGUAUAGGAUGGACCCGCGUCUGAUUAGCUAGUUGGUGAGGUAACGGCUCACCAAGGCGACGAUCAGUAGCCGACCUGAGAGGGUGACCGGCCACAUUGGGACUGAGACACGGCCCAAACUCCUACGGGAGGCAGCAGUGGGGAAUAUUGCACAAUGGGCGAAAGCCUGAUGCAGCGACGCCGCGUGAACGAAGAAGUAUUUCGGUAUGUAAAGUUCUAUCAGCAGGGAAGAAAAAUGACGGUACCUGACUAAGAAGCUCCGGCUAAAUACGUGCCAGCCGCAGC
rnacentral:rRNA from 1 species